AUCCUCAGGUUCACAAGCAUGAUGGCUGGGUGUUCAUGCUCCAUGCAUGACAUGUGCCUCCUUUGAGCCUUGUCACGACAUCGGCACAUUACCCAUCUGACG
rnacentral:snoRNA from 1 species